rnacentral:ribozyme from 15 species
AGGUAUCAUAUUAUUUUUCUUACCAUCUUUCGAUUAAUUAUUUUUUUGCUUUUCUCUUACAUUUCUUUCGU